GUUUACUGUACCUUACACAAAAUAUAGAUGAUGAAAGAAGAAAUUAAGGUACCAAUGUGUGGUUUACAACACUUUGUCACUUAUCGUGAAGCACAAAGUAUCUAUUUCACCUUUAUUUUCUACAAAGGAGCCAAACCACUUCAAUACCAGUGACACUAAUCACUGCCUUAAUAAAUUGGCAACCCCAUUUUAUCAAUGUCCUCCCUAAUAUUUUUCUUCUAAAAUAGCAUCAGUUCAUUAGCCUCUUGUAGUUCGCCAGUCCCCUCCCUGAUGUCUUCUUUGACAGUCACCUCAUUGUCCUCUAUAGUGAUUAGAAACUUACCUAAAGCGUUAACCAUUGUGUCCAAUUAAAUAACCAAUGUUUUCAAGUCUUUUAAAGAGUCCUGCAGUUCCUCAACAUCAGUCUUCUGUUCAUUACCUACCCAGCUACCAGCUGAGCAUUCUACGCUUCCAUCGAUUCUAGUAGAUGCCUUAAUCCUAUAAAUCCACCCAUUAACAGGUUCAUUUUUUUCUUAUCCUAGAUAACCACAUUCAUCAUCAUUCGUGAAUCUAUCUUAGUACCCUGUACUGAGUUUUAAAAAAGAUUGAUUGCAUGCUUAACUUCGAUAAAUCAUUUCAUGAUUAUAGAUGUGUCAUCAAUAUUUUCAUUAAUUUUUAAAUCAUCUAUUUUGGCCAAUAGUCCAUCCAUUAGUAAUAUGGUCUAUUUUGCACUUACCUCAUCAAUAGUUACAUCCUUAUAAUAUACCUCAUCAAUGGCCAUAUCCUCUUCCACAUCCUCAUGAACUUGAAUCAGGCCAUCACUAUCGGUUUGUUGGGUAAUUAUUUUCACAAAUUUUGGCAUGCAACCAAUGUUGUAAAGUACAAUUGAGAAAAUGCUUCCGGUGUUAGAACGAUGAUAACACACUGCCACACAGGGGUAUGAGGACGUGUAAUAGUAGAGUAGCACUAUGCAUAUAAGUUUGUUUGGAAAAAGCAAAUUGGGCUUUGUUUAUGGUAGAUACCCUAAGGAGAAAUCUCACUUUUAUUUAUAUGAACUUUGGGAGAAAUUCAAUGUUGUAGUUUUAUUAUGGACAACAAAUUAGCAAUCCACCGCUUUAGAUUCGACGAGAGCUGAAUUAUUGAGUGGUAUGGUCUAUGCAUCCAGUGCACAUAAGGUUUGGAUAAAUCUUCAGGAAAGAUUUGACUAGGUGAAUGGAUCAAGAUUUUUAUUCCUGCACAAAGAGAUAACUACACCCUCUCAGGGAAUUUCCUCUGUAUCCGCUUACUUUUCAAAAUUGAAGAAGUUUGGGCUGAAUUUGAUGCGCUCAUGCCCUGCCUUGGUUGUAGUUGUGAAGAAUCCAGGAAAUAUGUUGUAAAUUUUGAGUACUAAAUUACUGUAAUUUCUAAUGGGCCCCAAUGAGUUCUAUUACCAAUUGAAUAACCAAAUUUUGAACAUGAUCCAUAUACCUUCUAUUAACAAAGUUUAUUCCAUGAUUAUUUCAAAAGAGAGUAGGAGAAGUAUGUCUUUGUCUCAUGUUACAAAAUUGAAUAAAAGCACUACUUUUCUAAAUAAUAAUAAGGAAAAAGGGGUGCUUAAAUCUACCUACACCACUUCUGGAGAUUCUAGUUUGACCACUCAGCAUAGUGGUUCUAGCUUUAGCAUCGGACUGGAUGUUCUCAUUCAUAUAGAGGGAAAUCUACCAGAGGCUUUGGUGGUAGUUUUCAUACUACUAGUAGUAAUUUUCUUAGUUCUAGUUCCUAUAACAAUUCUCACAUUUCAAUUUCUAAUCCUGUUAGUCACACACAUCAACUACAAGUUCUGGAUCGAAUCAUAGAUUUAAGAAGAAGAAUCUCUUUUGUGACUACUGUUAUUUAAAAGGUACUUCAAGAACAAUUGCUACAAGUUGAUAGGAUAUCCUAAUGAUUCAAAAUAAAAAAAGAGGUUUGUUUCAAAUAGUUCUUCUAGUCCUACAACUUAUUUUCACAAGAUACCGCUAGUGUUGUAGGAGGUAGACAAGCAAGUGUUGAACAAAUGAACUAAAAUUCCUAUGGAUCAACCCCUGGCAUCCCUCAGUUCAUACAAGAACAAUACAAUCAACUGCUGAACUUACUUGGAAAGAGAGAUGAUACAACUGAUUCAAACAUGACAACAGGUGAAGGAGAUUGGUAGAGAAGAUGAUGGUUUAUAUGUGAUCAAUUCAAAAGACAAGCAUGAACUUCAAUAUGUAGUUGAAAGUAUUAGAAGAGCUACUACAACUUAUACUGGUUCUACUUUAGUCAGUAAGAAGAAGAAGUAUGAUGAUGGUGUUUUGUGGCAUAAAAAGCUAGGUCAUGUACUAGUAGGUACUUUUCAGAAAAUAAGUGGUUUUCAACCUUUCUAUUUGUGAUGGUAGAGCAAAAAAAUUUUGUUGUGUGUCUAUUGGCAAAACAAACUAGAUUGUCUUUUCCUUUAAGCACUACUACUGAUGGCUCUUAUUUUCAUACUAUACAUACAGAUGUUUAGGGUUCCUAUAGCAUCCCUACAUAUUAUGGUAAAAGGUACUUUCUUACUCUAGUUGAUGAUCGCUUAAGGUACACCUUGUUGUUUCUAUUACCUACAAAGUCUAAUGUAAUUGCUGUAAGGAAAUCUUUCUUUUAUAAGAUACAUAAUAUAUAUUCCUUC